GGAUUACUUGUCUCCAAGAUACCUUAACAAAACUAUUCCAGAGUUGGCAAGGGUGGCUGCUGAUGGAUUAGUUAUUUUAUCUGGUUACCCUGGUCAGCAAAAGGUUAAAGGAGCGGAGCUGUCAAAAUUUGGCCGGCCAGCCAAAUUGCGGAGCUCGUCCUGGUGGAUUAGAUUUUUCAUUCAAACCAGCUUAGAAGAGAAUGAACCUGUAACUAAGAAAUUUGAACAAGCAGCAGCCAAGAGGUCUUACAAGCCAGCCUGCCAAGUUUUCCACCUCAAGCCACUUCUUUGAUAAUAAAACACCAACUCUGUUUAAAAGAUGCUUAGCGUCUUCAGCUGUGUAUUAAAUGACAUGCUCCAAGUUCUGAAAAGUUGACAAUUUUUGUUGGAGGAAGUUGUUUCUGUAUGAUAGGUUUCACAAGUAAUGUAUAAUAGGCUAGGAGCUUGCUGUCAAUUGAUAUUGCUCCUUGUAACUGCAAACAUAGCUGGUUUUAGCAUGUCCAGACCAAAAACAUUGUUUGAGAAUUAGUACUGUAUAAGCUAAGAUCAAUAAGUAAUUUAUGAUCUUUUUGCUGUCAUAUUGUGUACUCUCUG
rnacentral:misc_RNA from 1 species